AGAGUUUGAUCAUGGCUCAGAGCGAACGCUGGCGGCAAGGCCUAACACAUGCAAGUCGAACGAACUCUUCGGAGUUAGUGGCGGACGGGUGAGUAACACGUGGGAACGUGCCUUUAGGUUCGGAAUAACUCAGGGAAACUUGUGCUAAUACCGAAUGUGCCCUUCGGGGGAAAGAUUUAUCGCCUUUAGAGCGGCCCGCGUCUGAUUAGCUAGUUGGUGAGGUAAAGGCUCACCAAGGCGACGAUCAGUAGCUGGUCUGAGAGGAUGAUCAGCCACAUUGGGACUGAGACACGGCCCAAACUCCUACGGGAGGCAGCAGUGGGGAAUCUUGCGCAAUGGGCGAAAGCCUGACGCAGCCAUGCCGCGUGAAUGAUGAAGGUCUUAGGAUUGUAAAAUUCUUUCACCGGGGACGAUAAUGACGGUACCCGGAGAAGAAGCCCCGGCUAACUUCGUG
rnacentral:rRNA from 1 species